AUUGAACGCUGGCGGCAGGCUUAACACAUGCAAGUCGAGCGGGGUGAUGGUGCUUGCACUAUCACUUAGCGGCGGACGGGUGAGUAAUGCUUAGGAAUCUGCCUAUUAGUGGGGGACAACAUCUCGAAAGGGAUGCUAAUACCGCAUACGUCCUACGGGAGAAAGCAGGGGAUCACUUGUGACCUUGCGCUAAUAGAUGAGCCUAAGUCGGAUUAGCUAGUUGGUGGGGUAAAGGCCUACCAAGGCGACGAUCUGUAGCGGGUCUGAGGGGAUGAUCCGCCACACUGGGACUGGGACACGGCCCAGACUCCUACGGGAGGCAGCAGUGGGGAAUAUUGGACAAUGGGGGGAACCCUGAUCCAGCCAUGCCGCGUGUGUGAAGAAGGCCUUAUGGUUGUAAAGCACUUUAAGCGAGGAGGAGGCUCUUUUGGUUAAUACCCAAGAUGAGUGGACGUUACUCGCAGAAUAAGCACCGGCUAACUCUGUGCCAGCAGCCGCCGCGG
rnacentral:rRNA from 1 species